AGUCGAACGAAUCCCUUGUAGCAAUACGAGGGGGAAGUGGCGAAAGGGGCAGUAAUGCGUGGCUAACCUACCCCGGGGACGGGGAUAGCCUCCCUAACGGGAGGGUAAUACCCGGCGAUGUGGCGAGGGGGCAUCUCUUUGCCAUGAAAUGAAUUUCGCCUCGGGAGGGGGUCACGUGCUAUUACCUAGUUGGCGGGGUAACGGCCCACCAAGGGGAAGAUGGCUAGCGGGUGUGAGAGCACGACCCGCGCCACUGGCACUGAGACACUGGCCAGACUCCUACGGGAGGCUGCAGUCGAGGAUCUUCGGCAAUGGGCGCAAGCCUGACCGAGCGACGCCGCGUGUGCGAUGAAGGCCUUCGGGUUGUAAAGCACUGUCGAGGGGGAGGAAAGCCCGCAAGGGUCUGACCUAUCCCUGGAGGAAGCACGGGCUAAGUUCGUGCCANCAGCCGCGGUAAGACGAACCGUGCAAACGUUGUUCGGAUUCACUGGGCUUAAAGGGCGCGUAGGCGGCUUGCCAAGUCAGUGGUGAAAUCUUUCGGCUCAACCGGAAAAUGGCUGCUGAUACUGGCGGGCUGGAGGGAGGUAGGGGCAGAUGGAACUUCCGGUGGAGCGGUGAAAUGCGUAGAUAUCGGAAGGAACGCCGGUGGCGAAAGCGAUCUGCUGGAUCUCUUCUGACGCUGAGGCGCGAAAGCCAGGGGAGCAAACGGGAUUAGAUACCCCGGUAGUCCUGGCCCUAAACGAUGGGUACUAGGUUGUGGACUUGACAUGGGUUCACAGCCGAAGCAAAAGUGUUAAGUACCCCGCCUGGGGAGUAUGGUCGCAAGGCU
rnacentral:rRNA from 1 species